AACCGUUCAUCGCGAUUGAUCUCGACUCUCCGAUCGCACUUAAAGGAUAAAUGAAUCUGGGCUAUCCACGCGUGCGUGAUCGAUCUUGGGCCAUCUGAUCGCAGGGCUCACGGAUCGCCUGCAUGGCACUGAUGUUAGCGUGCCUUACCACGCGGGGUGCUCUGGUUGGUCGAGAUUGCUGACUGGGCGGUCCUACAUAACCGAACUUUUCAU
rnacentral:lncRNA from 1 species